rnacentral:rRNA from 1 species
UCCGUAGGUGAACCUGCGGAAGGAUCAUUACUGAAUUGUCAAACGGGUUGUUGCUGGCCCUCAUAGGGGGCAUGUGCACGCUCUGUUUACACAUCCACUCACACCUGUGCACCCUCUGUAGUUCUAUGGUCUGGGGGACCCUGUCUUCCUUCUGUGGUUCUACGUCUUUACACACACACUGUAAUAAAGUUUUAUGGAAUGUACAUCGCGUCUAACGCAAUACAAUACAACUUUCAGCAACGGAUCUCUUGGCUCUCGCAUCGAUGAAGAACGCAGCGAAAUGCGAUAAGUAAUGUGAAUUGCAGAAUUCAGUGAAUCAUCGAAUCUUUGAACGCACCUUGCGCCCCUUGGCUAUUCCGAGGGGCAUGCCUGUUUGAGUAUCAUGAACACCUCAACUCUCAUGGUUUGCCAUGAUGAGUUGGACUCUGGGGGUUUUGCUGGCCUGUGGUCGGCUCCUCUCAAAUUAAUCAGCCUCCCAGUGUUUGGUGGCAUCACGGGUGUGAUAAAUAUCUACGCUCGCUGUUGUCUGCCAGGUAACCUUUGGUCACAAAGGUUUGCUGGAGCUCACANAUGUCUCUCCUCAGCGAGGACAGCUUUUUUAACGUUCGAUCUCAAAUCAGGUAGGACUACCCGCUGAACUUAAGCAUAUCAAUAAGCGGAGGAA